UUUUUAGUUUCUGGACAUGCCAUCAAUUUAAUUGCUUGUUAUAAUUUUGCUCUGUUGAAAUUACUUCUGUUGCUUGCACCAGAUCAUACUUUGUGGUAUCCUAAUAACAGAUGUGUAGUUGCUUGCACAUCUGUUAUUCAAUUUGUCGUUGAAAGAAUCUAGUUGCAAGGAAAAAGAGCAUCUAUAGAGAAAAAUAAACUCAAAUUACAUAAAACUUCGACAAAGCAAAAAUUGAGAGAUAUUUUUAGAACAGGAAGUAAGCAUUUUGAGCAGGAAGUAAAAUCAUUUGCUGAGAUGACCCAUAAAAAAUAGCUGAAAUCUUUCUUCUCUGUAAAGAACUUGAGAUGAGGCUUUGCAAAAUUUUAAAAGUUGCUAUUUUAAAAAUCACUUGGCUCAAAAGAUUGUUCAAGUAUAUUAAUAUUUAGGGUAGAGCGGGGCUAGUUGAGCAUAGAGGCAAGUUGGGCAACUAAAAUAUAUCAAAAACUACUCAUCACAUGGCAAAACAUCUAAUGGAUAAAAGAUAGGUAUUUAGAAUGGUAAUAAAAUGCGCAUAAAUGGUUGUUGGACCCCAGUUCAGUAAGAUGCACGGACACUUUUUCGAUUUUGGGCCAAAAAAGUGAAAAAAAAAUAUUUUUACUAUUUUUCUCUUAAAUGCUUAAAAAAACAAUUAUCUGGAAUCACUUAAGUGUUUAUAUUUUAACCAAUUAUUUGGCUAUUGAUUAUAAUUAUUGAUUAUUUUUUAUAACCUAACUGAUGUGUCACCUUGUCUAGUAGGGGCAAGUUGAGCAGAUUUAUAAAAUAUCAUAUUUCAUUUA